GCAGAUAUUUGGUGUUCGGGA
rnacentral:piRNA from 1 species